AUGUUGUGUGUGUGUGUGUGUGUGUGUGUGUGUGAUAGAGACAGAAUGAGAGAGAGACAGAAAUACAGAGAGAAGGAGGUAAAGGGUGUAGAAGGAAUGAGUGUGAGCGAUAAUAAGGCUUUUCCAGAUAAAAGCAAGCCACUUUAUGCCAAUGUGGAUUGUCUUUCUGUUUUUUUAUAUGCCCAGCAUUUUCAUUCUCAGGUACUCAUUAACAGUUUCUUUGAGAUUUGGAGAAGAGGAAAUCAGGAUGACUGGCAAUGUUGGAAAUUGAGAAUAGAAUUGAAAGAAGCCUGUGACAAAGAUCAGUACUUAUUGUGGAUGAUGGGGACCCUCACCAAGUACCUGAAGACCCCUCUGUCUACCAGCACUAACUUUUUAUCAACUUGGACUUUAUUCUCUCAUUGUAAGUCUCCUGGUUACUCAUUCUUCAUAAUUCACCACCUACACCCUGUAGAUUAGGCAGAUGUUUGAUUGAUAAUCUCCAUGACUAUUGGUAAAGCACAACACCAGACUGCACCACACUCCUCUUACCCAGGUGUAGUUAGGGGAGGGCUCAGAAUAGUAUAUGUGGUUUAGCUGUAGGAGCAGAAGGGUUGCAUAAUCAAGUAGUUUGAAAACUAGAUGAGUUCAGAAGGUGAACAUCAGAACCACUCUGGAGUUGUAUUUACAUGUUAUUUACAAUUUCUGCUCAUAACAGAAGUUAAAAAAAUUAUUCAAGACCCUAAACUACCAUAUUUCCAGAAGAAUCACUGAGACCUAAGGCUCCAAAGUCCCUCAAAUGUUAAUUUUUGAGACUAAUGAUGCUCUUUUUUGUUAACCUAAUGGAUUCUCACAUCAGUGGUGACCUUGUUGAGGUAGAGGUGGACUCACACCACCAACAUUUCCACUCAUUUUAUCAGCAUUCCUUAAAGUAUGGCUUCCUCCAUUUCUUAGAGCAUUUGUUUCGAGUGAUUUAUGUUAUUUUAGGAUAUCCAGACAACUUGGAGCCAAGUCCUCACAGCUGGAUCAGACAACUUUUGGUGACAUCUCACAGUGUGGAUUAUCAAGCCAAUGUAUUAGUCUGGAGGCUAGUUUUUUUGCCUUUAGCUUUGCUCGGGAUGACUUCUGCUCUUCUAUGGCAAUACUUGAGAGGGUAAGGUAGUUUUUGUUCUCAUUUUUUGUUUCAUCAUUUUAAUCCAUGUUUCCUAGAAUCUACCUCUUUCUUUACCUCAUUCUAUCAUUUUUCUAAUCGGGCCAUCAGUUACUUACUCUUGCAACGUGUACUCCAGCACCAUUUCAUGUAUAUGCUUAAACUAAUUCAUAGAACACUAUUACUAUUAAUAUUUGCAUUUCUUUUCACGGUAUGCAUCUAGAAAUCCUCAGCUAUUUUUUUGUUUUCUUCAUGAAAUUUUUAAUUCUAGGAACUUUUCAUAUGAGAUACAAAAAAUGGUUAAAUUCAAAUAACACCAUGUCCACCAUAUUGGUUCCCUAAUUAGAGCCAAGAUCACAAAAUCCAUGAUACAGUGUUGAGAGCACAAUCUCACAUACCUCACAGACUUGCCUUUGACUACUGGCUCCUCCAGUUGCCAGCUCUGUGACUUUGAGCAAAUUUCUUAACCUUUCUGGGUCUGUUUCCUCAUUUACAGAGUGGAGAUAAUAAUACCUCAUUUUCAUAGUUCUUCAGUGGAUUAAAUGUCAAUGGUCUAUCACUUUGCCUAGCAUGAUAGCAAGGUAUUCAGUAUAUGCUAAUUAUUAGUUUUAUAUAACUAUGAAGUCUUACAGAAUUGGUGAACUAAAUAUGUGACACACUUAUUGUGAUUGAAUUUUUGCAUAUGUGUUUGUUUCCAUCAAGAGAGAAGAGCAAGAAACAUACAACUUUUCCUUUUUCUUUUCCAAGAUUUUUUAAAAAUUGAGUACCUCUCCCUGAGAUUAUGGAGGUUUUAAAAUGUCCUUUAGGGUUCAGUGUGAUCAUCUGGAUUCCUUUACUCACUCUAGAAGAUCGGAGGCAGAUUUUCAUCUGUUUUAGGAGAGUAACCUUAGGAGAAUGUUGAAUGUUGAAUACAAGUACUACUAAAAAGUAGCAAAAAUUGCUCUAGGUACAUUUAUUGUUUUCUUCCAUUGUAUACAUUCCACUUUUUUUUUUUUUUUUUUGUGGCAACAGUCCCUGAUUUUCAUUUAGGAAUCCAACCAUUGCCCAUUCUUACUCCUUGUGGUCAGGGUGAAGGGAGGAGUUUAUCUCUGACUUAGGAGGGUAAAGAAUGUUGCUUGGAUAUUAGUGGACAGGGAUGGGUGAGCAUGUGACCUGGGAUGUCUAAGGCAGGGUGAAUCUCAGGACUAUUGUGGGAACUACCAGUAAAGAGAUAGCAUUCCUCCUCCACUUCUUCCCCCAACCCCGUGGCCCCUGCACCUUGAGAUUUGAACAGGGGAGAAUGUAGGCCGAGCUGCUACAGCCAGCUCACGACUAUGUGUCAAAAUUGGAGUAAACAGAGAGAAAAGCAGAGCUGAGAGAUUGAGAGACUCACCCAAUCUUGAUGAUAUCCUUUGAGCCUCGGAGUGAGGACAGCCUGCUAUCCCCAUUUCAAGACUUUUCAGUUACAUGAACCAAUACAUUCUCCCUUUCAUUUAAUAAGGUUUGAGUUGUUCUAUUACUUCAAGCAGAAUUAGAACUGAUAUAAUUGCUAUUUACUUUUUGCUGUGUUCUGCAUUCAUAAUAAAUAUAAAAAACAUAGCAAGAUAACCAGGGGUAUAUUAAUGAAAGGGUGGUAAUAGAGAAAGGGGAGGAAGAGGAAUAACAAGCCCUCCCCUUGGUCCUUUCAUGUCUCCUCUUUUCCUUCAGAUCAAAGAUCAGAUCCCUUAACCAGUAUUAUCACAUUAUACUUUCUAAGUUUUAUUUUGUUUUUAAUUAACAUCUAAUAAUUGUGCAUGUUUAUAUUUAAGUGAUGUUUCUUUUUUUUUUUUUUUUUUUUUUUGAGGCGGAGUCUCGCUCUGUGGCCCAGGCUGGAGUGCAGUGGCGCAAUCUCGGCUCACUGCAAGCUCCGCCUCCCGGGUUCCCGCCAUUCUCCUGCCUCAGCCUCCCGAGUAGCUGGGACUACAGGCGCCGCCACCACGCCCGGCUAAUUUUUUUUGUAUUUUUAGUGGAGACGGGGUUUCAUUGUGUUAGCCAGGAUGGUCUCGAUCUCCUGACCUCGUGAUCCGCCCGCCUCGGCCUCCCAAAGUGCUGGGAUUACAGGCUUGAGCCACCGCGCCCGGCCUAAGU
rnacentral:lncRNA from 10 species